GCUUCUCAGUGUUUACAUCCCUCACCAUCACUUCCCACAAUUACCAAUAAUUCUAAUUUCCUUCAAACAACCACUAAUCCAUCCAUUUUACCUGUCUCAGUCCCAUUGCCAUCCAACCAGAAUUCAACUGACAUAUUUAUUCCACUUAACUCCAAUGCCUCUUAUCCAUCUCAUCCUUCGUCCACCAUGGCACCACAUUCCACCCAAUGUGUUCAU
rnacentral:misc_RNA from 1 species